rnacentral:rRNA from 1 species
AUUGAACGCUGGCGGCAGGCCUAACACAUGCAAGUCGAGCGGAUGAAGGGAGCUUGCUCCUGGAUUCAGCGGCGGACGGGUGAGUAAUGCCUAGGAAUCUGCCUGGUAGUGGGGGAUAACGUCCGGAAACGGGCGCUAAUACCGCAUACGUCCUGAGGGAGAAAGUGGGGGAUCUUCGGACCUCACGCUAUCAGAUGAGCCUAGGUCGGAUUAGCUAGUUGGUGGGGUAAAGGCCUACCAAGGCGACGAUCCGUAACUGGUCUGAGAGGAUGAUCAGUCACACUGGAACUGGGACAGGGUCAAGACUCCUACGGGAGGCAGCAGUGGGGAAUAUUGGACAAUGGGCGAAAGCCUGAUACAGCCAUGCCGCGUGUGUGAAGAAGGUCUUCGGAUUGUAAAGCACUUUAAGUUGGGAGGAAGGGCAGUAAGUUAAUACCUUGCUGUUUUGACGUUACCAACAGAAUAAGCACCGGCUAACUUCGUG